UAGUGGUCGACCACUUUCAUAUUUUCAAUGGGCAAGUUCAGUUUCUCGUGUAAGAAGUAUUUCCACGUCAGUAAGACAUCGCUGAGACAGACGGUGAAUUCUCCGUGAUGCUGAAAGAGGCAAAACAACGACAAGGGUAAAUCACCUUCAUCCUUUGUGGGUAGGUCGUACCCACAAAUACACCUAAAUGUUGACUUUCGGGCUCCUCCAAGCAAAUCACCUCUGUUGGGGAGGCCUAACUCCCAAGCCCAGUUAAGGUGCUGAAGAAAGCGUACGAAACAGAAGUAAGCUAUUCCAGCUGGCUACUAAACUCACAGCCGUCAACGGGGCAGCUGAUUCUGUGGAGACCCCAUCACAUGGAGGCAAACAGAUCAUCAAUAUGGCAUCUGACACAUGAAGCUUCUUAGUGCCAAAUACUCUUCAAACAUUUACUAAGAAUUCCUUUGCUCCAUUUUCACAAGCGUCCUGCUGAUGGCGGUCUAUGGAUAUCCGAAUUUGACACGUGAAGAAAGUCAUGCUCAAUGACAUGAAGCUCAUACAUAGCCAAGAGGCACAGAUCCAAGAUCCCUAAGUUUUUCCUAACCUCUCCUGGAUGCAAACAACUCUUUCAAAAUAAGCUGAGGUGCGCCGCUGUUCCAGCCUGCCAUCCUAUGCAGUCCCUCCCUCCUUCUAUUCUUC
rnacentral:lncRNA from 1 species